UACGUAGGGUCCAAGCGUUAAUCGGAAUUACUGGGCGUAAAGCGUGCGCAGGCGGUUUUGUAAGACAGGUGUGAAAUCCCCGGGCUUAACCUGGGAACUGCAUUUGUGACUGCAAGGCUAGAGUGCGGCAGAGGGGGGUGGAAUUCCACGUGUAGCAGUGAAAUGCGUAGAUAUGUGGAGGAACACCGAUGGCGAAGGCAGCCCCCUGGGCCUGCACUGACGCUCAUGCACGAAAGCGUGGGGAGCAAACAGG
rnacentral:rRNA from 1 species